ensembl:snRNA U6 U6 spliceosomal RNA
GUGCUCACUUCGGCAGCACAUAUACUAAAAUUAGAACAAAACAGAGAUUAGCAUGGCCCCCUUGCACGGAUGACACUCAAAUUAGUGAAUUGUUCCAAGUUUUU